GGGUGCGAUCAUACCAGCAUUACUGCACCGGAUCCCAUCAGAACUCCGUAGUUAAGCGUGCUUGGGCGAGAACUAUAAUGGGUGACCUCCUGGGAAGUACUCGUGUUGUAACCC
rfam:Corchorus capsularis cultivar CVL-1 contig06611, whole genome shotgun sequence.